ensembl:lncRNA
ACCGCCCGGCGGCCGUCCGAGGAAGACAACUGGGGCCGGGAAGUGGAUCGGGGGGCCGCAACCUGGGAACGCGGCGGCUGCUGCGUUUGCACGAUCCGUUCUAGGCGGAGAACCCUGGGGCUUCGGCAGCGGGAUUCUGUGUUAGGCGAACCUGGGGGCUUGGAGCCUUCCGGAGUGUGUUCGAACCUCGACUUUUUUUUUUUUAACUGGUGGUGUGAUGUUGGGCAAAGCUCUGACUGAAUUCCGCUCUUCUUACUGUAAAUGAUGUAUGUGUGUGAGGAAUAAGCGAGAUUACACGUUGCUGUGUUAAAACUGCCACGGUUGCUUCUGAAUGAGCUACGGGCGACUGACACAUUCAUUGAAAUGUUCUUUCCCGCCCCGUAACCUGAAUCUUUCCUUAGUCUGCACGGGAAGGGGAAGUGCGAGAGCUUUUGGCUGAAAAUGAAAUUGCAGAUGUCAAGCGCUUAGUACGUAGUGCUGGAACCGGCAGACAGGGCCACAGAGAGGCAAAAAUAUCAAUAUGAUUCCCCUCAUCUGUGAGCAAUGAGAGUAACUGCCGUGCUGGGAGGAAAGGUUUAACGGAGAUCGCGUGUAAGCCUGGUCUGCAGGAAUUUCACGAGCUCGUUUCUGCCUCGUGGGACCGUGAAAUGAUACGUGACUGUGGAGGGAAACGUAAUUUUUCUCGUGGAAGGAUAGCGAAAUCUACAUAUCUUUCAAUGAGCCUGCUUUCUUUAAGCUUCAGUUGUGAAAUCAGCCCACUGGGCAGUGACUGAGCUCUUGAGUUCCCGUCCUGAGUCUUAGCAGAGAAAACAAUUAUGAAAACUUUUUAUUUUUGUCUAUUGGGUAAAAUGUGUUUUUUUACAGUCUUCUAUCCGCAAGCCACUAUGGAGAAGUGGAGCAGGCCUUUUUUUUUUUUUUUUUUUUUUGAAGCUCUUAAAUCCUGACCCUCACAGUGUGAAACCAUAGUUACUUUACCUUUGGAACCUGUUUACUCAUCUAUCAAAAAGAAAUAGCAGUACCUACUUUUCAGGCUUGUAGUGGGAAUUAGAGAUAACAUUAAAAACACUCUUCUGGUUAUCUUUUGCUGUUUAACAAACAAUCCCAGAAUUCAGUGGCUUAAACCAACAUUUACUUUACACCAAAUCUGCAAUUUGGGGUGGUUCUAGCUGGGACAGCUGGUCUCUACUCCCUUCGGCUUCAGCUGUAAGGUUGGGCACUGCUACUGCUGCUGCUAAGUCGCUUCAGUCGUAUCCAACUCUCUGCGACCCCAUAGACGGCCGCCCACCAGGCUCCCCGUCCCUGGGAUUCUCCAGGCAAGAACACUGGAGUGGGUUGCCAUUUCUUUCUCCAAUGCAUGAAAGUGAAAAGUGAAAGUGAAGUCGCUCAGUCGUGUCCAACUCUUAGGGACCUCAUGGACUGCAGCCUACCAGGCUCCUCCGUCCAUGGGAUUUUCGAGCCAAGAGGCAUGUGAGAUCUUCGCUCCACAACCAGGGAUUGAACCACUAACCUCUGCAUUGGAAGGCAAAGUAGUAACCACUGGACAACCAGAGACGUCCCCACAUCCCACAUUCUAGUCUUUAGAUAGGAGUCACUAAGCCAGGCCUGUAUUUAAGGGAAGAGGACUUAGACUACACCUUUAUAUAGGAAGAGUGUCACAGAAUUUGCAGGCAUAUUACAAGUCAUAUAUGAAAUGUGCUCCAGGCACGGUAGCUAUUAUGCUAGAGGCCUGGUCCUCUGAUCUAUCCUAGUGAGAAUGUACUCUUCCUCCCCCGGGCUCUUCUUUAAUGUAUUGUAGAAUCUUGUUCAAUUUACUUUUUACCUCUCAGAGCCUUAAUUUAUCCUUAUUAAAGGAGACAAUUAUUACCUA